ACACAUGCAAGUCGAGCGGAAAGGCCACUUCGGUGGUACUCGAGCGGCGAACGGGUGAGUAACACGUGAGUAAUCUGCCCCCGGCUUCGGGAUAGCCACCGGAAACGGUGAUUAAUACCGGAUAUGACAGACCCUCGCAUGGGGGUGUGUGGAAAGUUUUUCGGCCAGGGAUGUGCUCGCGGCCUAUCAGCUUGAUGGUGAGGUAAUGGCUCACCAUGGCUUCGACGGGUAGCCGGCCUGAGAGGGUGACCGGCCACACUGGGACUGAGACACGGCCCAGACUCCUACGGGAGGCAGCAGUGGGGAAUAUUGGACAAUGGGCGGAAGCCUGAUCCAGCAACGCCGCGUGAGGGAUGACGGCCUUCGGGUUGUAAACCUCUUUCAGUACCGACGAAGCGCAAGUGACGGUAGGUACAGAAGAAGCACCGGCCAACUACGUGCCAGCAGCCGCGGUAAUACGUAGGGUGCGAGCGUUGUCCGGAAUUAUUGGGCGUAAAGGGCUCGUAGGCGGUUUGUCGCGUCGGGAGUGAAAACGCCGUGCUUAACACGGCGCUUGCUUCCGAUACGGGCAGACUAGAGGUAUUCAGGGGAGAACGGAAUUCCUGGUGUAGCGGUGAAAUGCGCAGAUAUCAGGAGGAACACCGGUGGCGAAGGCGGUUCUCUGGGAAUGACCUGACGCUGAGG
rnacentral:rRNA from 1 species